rnacentral:lncRNA from 12 species
AUGGAAAGCACUGGGAUGGAGCAUGAAAGUGUGUGGUACCACCGUCCAACACAAAAGACUAAUGUGCCUGGAGAACAACAGCAACAGAGUGGCCGUAUAACAACAACAAGGACAAUAACAGUACCAUUUACAGAUUCCACAAGACCACCAAAAGCACUGCUUAACCUUUCAACUGGAAUGGCCACUAUACUCGUAGGGGGAAGUGAAUGCAUAUGCUAUGAAUUAAUUUGUCUGCAAGUCUGGAAAAUAUUACUGAAUGUGGUGAACAUUGAUCAGUUUCAACAACAACAACAAGGAGCCCAAGAUCAGCAGUGAAUGAGAAAAAAUCUCUUAGAGGGAGAUUUGAUUUCAGCACCUCUUGGCGACCAAUAAGUUGCUACCAACGGAAUAAACCAUUCGGCACGUAGUAGGACUUCA